GGGACCUUCGGGCCUCUCGCGUACAGAUAUGCCUAGGUGGGAUUAGCUAGUUGGUGAGGUAAGGGCUCACCAAGGCGACGAUCCCUAGCUGGUCUGAGAGGAUGAUCAGCCACACUGGAACUGAGACACGGUCCAGACUCCUACGGGAGGCAGCAGUGGGGAAUAUUGCACAAUGGGCGCAAGCCUGAUGCAGCCAUGCCGCGUGUGUGAAGAAGGCCUUCGGGUUGUAAAGCACUUUCAGUCGUGAGGAAGGUAGUGUAGUUAAUAGCUGCAUUAUUUGACGUUAGCGACAGAAGAAGCACCGGCUAACUCCGUGCCAGCAGCCGCGGUAAUACGGAGGGUGCGAGCGUUAAUCGGAAUUACUGGGCGUAAAGCGCAUGCAGGUGGUUUGUUAAGUCAGAUGUGAAAGCCCGGGGCUCAACCUCGGAAUUGCAUUUGAAACUGGCAGACUAGAGUACUGUAGAGGGGGGUAGAAUUUCAGGUGUAGCGGUGAAAUGCGUAGAGAUCUGAAGGAAUACCGGUGGCGAAGGCGGCCCCCUGGACAGAUACUGACACUCAGAUGCGAAAGCGUGGGGAGCAAACAGGAUUAGAUACCCUGGUAGUCCACGCCGUAAACGAUGUCUACUUGGAGGUUGUGGCCUUGAGCCGUGGCUUUCGGAGCUAACGCGUUAAGUAGACCGCCUGGGGAGUACGGUCGCAAGAUUAAAACUCAAAUGAAUUGACGGGGGCCCGCACAAGCGGUGGAGCAUGUGGUUUAAUUCGAUGCAACGCGAAGAACCUUACCUACUCUUGACAUCCAGAGAACUUUCCAGAGAUGGAUUGGUGCCUUCGGGAACUCUGAGACAGGUGCUGCAUGGCUGUCGUCAGCUCGUGUUGUG
rnacentral:rRNA from 1 species